rnacentral:lncRNA from 1 species
ACUUCCGGCCGCUCGCAAGAUGGCGGCGCGCCGCGUUCUCCGCCUCGCGGAGCGCCAGGCGCGAUGGCUCCGCCCCUUGCCCCGCCCCCCGCAGCGGAUCGGCCAAUGGCGAGAGGCGCAGGGCCUCUCCCCGAGCACCUCCGGGCCCGGCCCCCUCAGGGACCUCCCGGACUGGAGCUUUUCGGGUAAAAAAACCGGGAUUUUGGGAAAAAGAGGGAUUUUGGGGGGGAAAUGGGAAUUUUGGGAAAAAAUGGGAAUUUUGGGGGAAAAUUUAAGAAUUUUGGGGGGGAAAAUGGGAAUUUUUGGGAGAAAAAUUGGAGAUUUGGGGGAAAAAAAUGGGAAUUUUGGGG